rnacentral:rRNA from 1 species
UACGAAGGGGGCUAGCGUUGUUCGGAUUUACUGGGCGUAAAGCGCACGUAGGCGGGCCGUUAAGUCAGGGGUGAAAUCCCGGAGCUCAACUCCGGAACUGCCUUUGAUACUGGCGACCUUGAGGCUGGAAGAGGUUAGUGGAAUUCCCAGUGUAGAGGUGAAAUUCGUAGAUAUUGGGAAGAACACCAGUGGCGAAGGCGACUUACUGGACACAUAUUGACGCUGAGGUGCGAAAGCGUGGGGAGCAAACAGG